UACGAGGGGGGCAAGCGUUGUUCGGAAUUAUUGGGCGUAAAGAGUGCGUAGGCGGUUUGGUAAGUCUUAUGUGAAAUCUACAGGCUCAACUUGUAGUCUGCAUGAGAAACUGCCGGGCUUGAGUAUGGGAGAGGUGAGUGGAAUUCCUGGUGUAGCGGUGAAAUGCGUAGAUAUCAGGAGGAACACCUGUGGCGAAAGCGGCUCACUGGACCAUAACUGACGCUGAUGCACGAAAGCUAGGGGAGCAAACAGG
rnacentral:rRNA from 1 species